UACGUAGGGUGCAAGCGUUGUCCGGAAUUAUUGGGCGUAAAGAGCUCGUAGGCGGUUUGUCGCGUCGGCUGUGAAAACUCGGGGCUCAACCCCGAGCCUGCAGUCGAUACGGGCAAACUAGAGUGCUGUAGGGGAGACUGGAAUUCCUGGUGUAGCGGUGAAAUGCGCAGAUAUCAGGAGGAACACCGGUGGCGAAGGCGGGUCUCUGGGCAGUAACUGACGCUGAGGAGCGAAAGCAUGGGUAGCGAACAGG
rnacentral:rRNA from 1 species